AGGGUGAGAGAUGGUCAUCAAAUAUGCCGAAUAGGGGAGUAAAAGAGAGAUGCUGGAAGCAUUUAUGAGAGUACUGUGCGUGACUGGAAGAACAAAGGAAAAACUGCUAGCUAAAUAGCUAGACAACAUCGACACUCGCUGCAUAAUUAUCAAGAGAGGUUGUCUGGAGAAGGGGGGAAGGAAUGUGUUAGACAUAUGGAGUUUAUCCAAGCACAUCCAAAGCCUUGGAUUCCAGUGGAUGAUCUGACUGCUGAACAUCAGUCGAAAGCAGAAUUAUUUCUGGUUUUUGGCAGGUCUAGAAACUAUUGAAGGCAUUUCUACCAAAGAUUUUCAGGAUGCUUGGACGUCUCUCUAUCCUGAACCACGGUACAUAUAACCAAAUAAAGGUGCAUGGUUUGUAUACUUUGAUUCUUGGGGUAUUGUGUAAGUGAUUUGACAGGCCCAGUGCAUUCUCCUGGUUCUUACACAAUAUGGACAAAGCUCGUGAUCCUGGAUUGACAUUUAGUACCCUCGAGGAAGCACUAGUCAGACGAGUAAAUGUUGAUAUUGAUGUAUGUAAUGAAUUGUUGUUUAAAUUGGCAAUGAAAGCAUUUGUCUUCAGAUUGACUAUCUGUUUUUGGCAUUGGAUGGAAGAGGAGGAAUAGAAGCUGUUAAUCUAAUAGAUGAUGGAAUACGAUGGUCUGUGGUGAAAUUUAGUUGAACCGAUGUUUGUUCAACUUUGCAGAAAUGUUUGAUUUGUUUGUCAGGAAUGGAGUAACGUUUGAUCACUUGGGAGUUAGUGUUAUAUUGAAUGUUACUAAAUGUUAACAAAUGAGACUGAGAAUACAGAGAGUACAGAGUGACUUGCCAUUGUUUGUAUCCAGUGGUACAAGUAAGAAACCACUUGUUAUAGUGCUAGAUUGCAUACCUUUAAGUGCUAAUUUAAUAUCGUGACUUUGCAGAGGAUUUAUAAUCAUGAUGAUUACAGUAGUAGUUGCAUUCUGUUUGCUGACUACGUUACAGUGUCUUCUGGAAGGGUCAAUAUUGCAUGUUUAGA